AGUGAACGCUGGCGGUAGGCCUAACACAUGCAAGUCGAACGGCAGCACAGUAAGAGCUUGCUCUUACGGGUGGCGAGUGGCGGACGGGUGAGGAAUACAUCGGAAUCUACUUUUUCGUGGGGGGUAACGUAGGGAAACUUACGCUAAUACCGCAUACGACCUACGGGUGAAAGCAGGGGAUCUUCGGACCUUGCGCGAUUGAAUGAGCCGAUGUCGGAUUGGCUAGUUGGCGGGGUAAAGGCCCACCAAGGCGACGAUCCGUAGCUGGUCUGAGAGGAUGAUCAGCCACACUGGAACUGAGACACGGUCCAGACUCCUACGGGAGGCAGCAGUGGGGAAUAGUGGACAAUGGGCGCAAGCCUGAUCCAGCCAUACCGCGUGGGUGAAGAAGGCCUUCGGGUUGUAAAGCCCUUUUGUUGGGAAAGAAAAGCAGCAGGUUAAUACCCCGCUGUUCUGACGGUACCCAAAGAAUAAGCACCGGCUAACUUCGUG
rnacentral:rRNA from 1 species